ensembl:lncRNA
GCCAGAUCCAACACCUCCGGCUCGGCCCCCACCCAGCCCCUUCCCACGGUGUGUGCCGGGCCCAGCGCCCCAGGGCGAUGCCAGGGCAAACACCCCGGCAGCAGUGAUGGAAAACCACCAUUGCCCAGUUCCACCAGUUCAUCACUGGGGCCAGGUGUGGGCUACACACUCCCAGAACAGCCCUGGAGCCCGGCGCUGGCCUCAGACCCUCCAGCAGCCCUUAGAUGAGGCCUUUGCUGUGGUAGGAAAUGGUUUCUCUGAGGAUUUUGUUUGCCAGAGGAGAAAACUGGGCUGGAAUUUGCAAGAAGAAAGUUUGAGGGGAAUGGCAAAGAAUUGCUAUAUUAGUUUUCCAGAAGGAGCUUCCAGUUGUGCCGGCACACAGCGACGUGUCCUGGAGCGACACAAACGGGGGGAAUACCCAAAAGUGAUAUUAGGUGAAGGGUCUCUUUCCCAGGAAAAGUUUGGCAACCCACAGAUUCCGUUGCCAGCCUCUGUCUGCAGCUAAACCAAUUACUGCAGACAAAUUGGCAUGGACGUUCGCCUCACUGAGCUCUCGGCUGCACAAAGGGCUCGCUUUCCCUCCUCGCCUUCCCUCUUUGCUUUCCCUCCUCGCUUUCCCUCCUUGCCGUCCCUCCUUGCUUUCCCUCAUUUUCCCUCCCUUUCCCCCUUCCCUGACACGAUUUUACGAGAGAGGAAAAUUACUCGGAUGCUGAGCGUACUGAUUGGGGCUGAAGCCUCCCAGCUGCUGCACCCAAACGCUGCCCUGGGGCUCAGCCCAACCCUUCAGCUGUUUUGGGGUGAAGAAGAGGAUCUGUGCUCCCCACCCCAGUUUGCCUCUCGAGCCCAAGGUGGGAUCUCUCCCUGCUAUCCCAUUCCCAUGGAGCUGCAGGAGAAGCACCACGUUUGUGUUCCAAGUGGGGAAACCGAGGCACAGCUCCUUACUUGCAGGGGCAAAUCAGACCCAUGGGGGACGAUUUUAAUCUUUUAAAAUCUGAAUCUUUUAAAAUCAACAUUUUGGGGUCUUUUGGGGUGAAGGCUGUUGCCGUGGCAGAGAUAGGGGGUCUUGCACGUCUCUCCUGGCUCCUGGGGACUCUUUGGACAUGGGUGAGCUCUGUGCAAGGAGCAUUCCUGGCUGAGCAGAGGGAGGUGGGGAAGGUGCCCAGCCCAGGUGUGCAGGAGGGCCCUUGGGCAGCACAGAGCCAGCAGGACCUGCAGGCUCUCACCGAAAUGCCCGCGCUGGCACUCCCCACCUGCCUGGCCAUCCUGGCUGUGCUCCCAGAGCGGGGAGGAGGGGAAAGGCAGCGUCACGGGCCAGGAAGCCGAGCCAAAUCUCAGCCCAGUGAUAAUGUUGAACACUGAUUUCUAUAUUCCCCUUCCUCCGGCCUGGCAGGACUGUGGGGUGUGUGGAGCCAACAGCUCCUGCAGCCGGAGCCUCCAUCGUGGGGCAUCCUGAAUCCGAGUGUGCCCUGCAUCCCAGCCAGCUCUGAGGCUCAGACCUGCCAGGGGGAACUGCAAGGCAGAAGGAGACUCCAAAUAAAGGGUGUUUUGGAAGAAUGGAGGCCCUGUUU